UACGAAGGGGGCUAGCGUUGCUCGGAAUCACUGGGCGUAAAGCGCACGUAGGCGGCUUUCUAAGUCAGGGGUGAAAUCCUGGAGCUCAACUCCAGAACUGCCUUUGAUACUGGAGAGCUUGAGUCCGGGAGAGGUGAGUGGAACUGCGAGUGUAGAGGUGAAAUUCGUAGAUAUUCGCAAGAACACCAGUGGCGAAGGCGGCUCACUGGCCCGGAACUGACGCUGAGGUGCGAAAGCGUGGGGAGCAAACAGG
rnacentral:rRNA from 1 species